rnacentral:rRNA from 1 species
CCCUUAGAUGUCCUGGGCCGCACGCGCGUUACACUGAUGCAUUCAACGAGCUUAUAACCUUGGCCGAGAGGCCUGGGCAAUCUUGUUAACGUGCAUCGUGAUAGGGAUAGAUUAUUGAAAUUAUUAAUCUUGAACGAGGAAUUCCUAGUAAACGCAGAUCAUCAAUCUGCAUUGAUUACGUCCCCGCCCUUUGUACACACCGCCCGUCGCACCUACCGAUUGGAUGGUCCGGUGAAGCCUCGGGAUUGUGGUUCUUGCCGCUUUAUUGUGGCGUGACCGCGAGAACUUGUCUAAACCUUAUCACCUAGAGGAAGGUGAAGUCGUAACA